rnacentral:rRNA from 1 species
UAAUACGUAGGGUGCGAGCGUUAAUCGGAAUUACUGGGCGUAAAGCGUGCGCAGGCGGUUCGCUAAGACAGAUGUGAAAGCCCCGGGCUUAACCUGGGAAUUGCGUUUGUGACUGGCGGGCUAGAGUGCGGCAGAGGGAGGUGGAAUUCCACGUGUAGCAGUGAAAUGCGUAGAGAUGUGGAGGAACACCGAUGGCGAAGGCAGCCUCCUGGGCCAGCACUGACGCUCAGGCACGAAAGCGUGGGGAGCAAACAGGAUUAGAUACCCUGGUAGUCCACGCCCUAAACGAUGUCGACUAGUUGUUGGGGAAGGAGACUUCCUUAGUAACGCAGCUAACGCGUGAAGUCGACCGCCUGGGGAGUACGGUCGCAAGACUA